GUGAGGGUGUAGGGCGGUGAGGGUUGUGGGUACAGGGUAGCGUGCGAGGGUGUAGGAUGGUGAGGGCUGUGGGUACAGGGUAGCGUGCGAGGGUGUAGGGCGGUCAGGGUUGAGGGUACAGGGUGUGUGGAGGGUGUGGGACGGUGAGGGUUGUGGAUAUGGGAAGGGUGUAGGGGGAAGAGAGUUGAGGGUAUGGGGGCGAGGGCUGUGGGUACAGGGUGUAGGACAGUGAGGGCUGUGGGUAUGGGGAGGGUGUAGGGGGGUGAGGGUUGAGGGGAUAAGGGCAUAGGGGGUGAUGGUUGUGGGUACAGGGGGUGUGGAAAGUAUAGGAUGGUGAGGGCUGUGGGUGUGGGGAGGGUGAGGGUGUAGGGGGUGAGGGUUGAGGGAGGUAAGGGUGUAGGAUGGUGAGGGUUGUGGGUACAGGGUAGCGUGCGAGGGUGUAAGGCGGUGAGGGUUGUGGGUACAGGGUAGCGUGCGAGGGUGUAGGGCGAUGAGGGUUGUGGGUACAGGGUAGCGUGCGAGGGUGUAGGGCGGUGAGGGUUGUGGGUACAGGGUAGCGUGCGAGGGUGUAGGGCGGUGAGGGUUGGGGGUACAGGGUAGCGUGCGAGGGUGUAGGGCGGUGAGGGUUGUGGGUACAGGGUAGCGUGCGAGGGUGUAGGGCGGUGAGGGUUGUGGGUACAGGGUAGCGUGCGAGGGUGUAGGGCGGUGAGCGAUGUGAGGAAGGGCCACGGGGCGGGGAGGCUUGAGGGAUGCAGGUAAUAACUGCAUUUGUGGGGCGUGAGGAAUGACCCUAUGUCCCGGGUGUGCCAUGUGGGGAAGGGCCAUGAGGGGGCAAAGGGGGUGCAGGGCACGGCCAUGGCACCAGGGAUUAGGGCGGGGAGAAGACGAUGCAGAAGUGAGAGGGUCUGUGAGGGUGUGGGAGUGUAUGGGGGGGCACAGUAGAGGUGGGGGCGCAGGGGGUACAAAGGAGGGGUUGUAGCAGGCAGUGAGGUGUAGGGGGUACAGCAGGGGUGGAAUAUAAGGGAGGGGUUAUAGCACGCUGUGGGGGCACAGGAGGUACAGUCGGGGUGGGAUAUAAGGGAGGGAUUGUAGCAGGCUGUGGGGGUGCAGGGGGUACAGUCGGGUUGGCGGUAAAAAGGAGGGGUUGUAGCAGGCUGUGGGGUGCAGGGAGUACAGUCGGGUUGGGGGUACAAAGGAGGGGUUGUAGCAGGCUGUGGGGGGGCAGGGGGUACAGUCGGGUGGGGGUACAAAGGAGGGGUUGUAGCAGGCUGUGGGGGUGUAGGGGGUACAGUCGGGUGGGGGUACAAAGGAGGGGUUGUAGCAGGCUGUGGGGGUGCAGGGGGUACAGUCAGGUGGGGGUACAAAGGAGGGGUUGUAGCAGGCUGUGGGGGUGCAGGGGGUACAGUCAGGUGGGGGUACAAAGGAGGGGUUGUAGCAGGCUGUGGGGGCGCAGGGGGUAGUCGGGUGGGGGUACAAAGGAGGGGUCAUAGCAGGGUGUGGGGGCACAGGGGUACAGUUGGGUGAGGGUACAACGGAGGGGUUGCAGCAGGGUGUGGGGGCGCAGGGGGUACAUCGGGUUGGGGGUACAAAGGAGGGGUUAUAGCAGGGUGUGGGGGAGCAGGGGGUACAGUCGGGUGAGGGUAUAAAGGAGGAGUUGUAGCAGGCUGUUGGGGCGGGAUAUGAGGGAGGGGUUAUAGCAGGCUGUGGGGGUUCAGGGGGUACAGUCGGGUUGGGGUACAAAGGAGGGGUUGUAGCAGCCUGUGGGGGUGCAGGGGGUACACGGGAGAGGUGCCGUAGGGGGGUACAGGCAGGAGGCGGCGCACAACGGGGCGCAUGAGAGGUCAGCAGGGCUGGGGGGAAGGUAUGUGGGAGAAUCGGGGAGCAGGGAAGAUAGAAGGGGUGAAGGUAGUGGGGUCUGUGGUGGGGCUGCAUUGAGGGUUAUGGGGUGCAUUGGAGUGCAGUGUAUGGGGUGCACUGGGGGUGCAGUGGGGCAUACAGGGGGGCUGCACUGGGGGCAUAUGAGGGGCGGCAGGCAGAAGCAAGGGGGCACUUUUAACCCUUUGACAUCAGG